GAGUGAGCGAUGUGAGCGAGGGAAAGGCAUUGUGAGAGGUUUUUUUUUUGGUGAGAGAGAGUGAGACGAAGAGAGAGUAGUCGUUAGGGAGUGAGACGGAGAGAGGGCAUCGCGAGGGAGAGAAGAGCGAGCUUUGUGAGAGAGACAGAUCCGUUUUUGUUUUUUCCUUUCUUUAUUGUCUUUUUUUCCUUUUUUAUUAAUAGAGUAAGUAGUUCUUAAAAAAAAAGCAUUAUAAAAAAGAUUCCUUAGUUAAUUGAUGAAGGUUUUAGGUUCCCAAUUUAUUCCUCUUGGUAAACCCAACAGCCAUGCGGCUGGGUUUAAUUACCAGUAGGCCAAUAGUUUUUUUCUAUUUUAGUUUUUAUUUUAAUCCUUCUUUUUUUAAUUUAUUUUAGUUUAUAUAUUUAGGUUAGUGUUAAAAUAACAGUUAGUCGUUAAAUAGCUUAGUGGAGAGGGGGUAGUUCCAUAGUCUUAGGUGGAGUGAGUUCGAUACUCGUAGAUAGUUUUUUUAGUAUUUCUUUUUUUGUAUUUCAUUUCUUUUUAUCAUUCCAUUUUUUAUUUCUUUUUAGUAUUUUAUUAUCUUUUAGCAUUUUGUUUAUUUUAAUAGUUUUUUUAUGUCCAUGCUUCUUUAUUAAUUUCAUCAUGCAUGCAAAACCAUUUUUAAACUAAUAAAAAUCAUAUUCUCUCGAUUUAAUAUCGAGCCCCCUUUUUUCACACCCUUGUAAGUCGAUUGCUUUUUAAGCAUCGCCAUCAACCUCACAUAGCUUACUCUUGGGCUUUCUUACAAUGAGCCGGUUCUCUUGCACUGACACUCAUGCAUUAUUUGUUGGUUCCGAUUUAAUUAUUUCGUGAUUUUUUAAUCCCCAUUUGACAAAUGUACCCCAUUCCCCCAAUGUGUAAUAAUUUUGUACUUUUUAUUUCUUUUAUUGUUUGGUUGUUUAAUUAGCUACUAACACAAGAAUAAAAUCAACAAAUUUCAAAAAUACAAAAAUAUGACUCGAUCCAAC
rnacentral:lncRNA from 1 species